rnacentral:rRNA from 1 species
UAGGGAAUCUUCGGCAAUGGGGGCAACCCUGACCGAGCAACGCCGCGUGAGUGAAGAAGGUUUUCGGAUCGUAAAGCUCUGUUGUAAGUCAAGAACGAGUGUGAGAGUGGAAAGUUCACACUGUGACGGUAGCUUACCAGAAAGGGACGGCUAACUACGUGCCAGCAGCCGCGGUAAUACGUAGGUCCCGAGCGUUGUCCGGAUUUAUUGGGCGUAAAGCGAGCGCAGGCGGUUUGAUAAGUCUGAAGUUAAAGGCUGUGGCUCAACCAUAGUUCGCUUUGGAAACUGUCAAACUUGAGUGCAGAAGGGGAGAGUGGAAUUCCAUGUGUAGCGGUGAAAUGCGUAGAUAUAUGGAGGAACACCGGUGGCGAAAGCGGCUCUCUGGUCUGUAACUGACGCUGAGGCUCGAAAGCGUGGGGAGCGAACAGGAUUAGAUACCCUGGUAGUCCACGCCGUANCGAUGAGUGCUAGGUGUUGGAUCCUUUCCGGGAUUCAGUGCCGCAGCUAACGCAUUAAGCACUCCCGCCUGGGGGAGUACGACCGCAAGGUUG